rnacentral:rRNA from 1 species
AGUGAACGCUGGCGGUAGGCCUAACACAUGCAAGUCGAACGGCAGCACAGGAGAGCUUGCUCUCUGGGUGGCGAGUGGCGGACGGGUGAGGAAUACAUCGGAAUCUGCCCAGUCGUGGGGGAUAACGUAGGGAAACUUACGCUAAUACCGCAUACGACCUUCGGGUGAAAGAGGGGGAUCGCAAGACCUCUCGCGAUUGGAUGAGCCGAUGUCGGAUUAGCUAGUUGGCGGGGUAAUGGCCCACCAAGGCGACGAUCCGUAGCUGGUCUGAGAGGAUGAUCAGCCACACUGGAACUGAGACACGGUCCAGACUCCUACGGGAGGCAGCAGUGGGGAAUAUUGGACAGUGGGCGCAAGCCUGAUCCAGCCAUACCGCGUGGGUGAAGAAGGCCUUCGGGUUGUAAAGCCCUUUUGUUGGGAAAGAAAUCUUUCAGGCUAAUACCCUGGGAGGAUGACGGUACCCAAAGAAUAAGCACCGGCUAACUUCGU